rnacentral:rRNA from 1 species
CAGCAGUAGCCGCGGGAAUACGAAGGGUGCAAGCGUUACUCGGAAUUACUGGGCGUAAAGCGUGCGUAGGUGGUGGUUUAAGUCCGUUGUGAAAGCCCUGGGCUCAACCUGGGAAUUGCAGUGGAUACUGGGUCACUAGAGUGUGGUAGAGGAUAGUGGAAUUUCCGGUGUAGCAGUGAAAUGCGUAGAGAUCGGAAGGAACAUCUGUGGCGAAGGCGACUAUCUGGGCCAACACUGACACUGAGGCACGAAAGCGUGGGGAGCAAACAGGAUUAGAUACCCGAGUAGUCCCUGUCUCUUAUAC